rnacentral:rRNA from 1 species
UGGGGAAUAUUGGACAAUGGGCGAAAGCCUGAUCCAGCCAUGCCGCGUGUGUGAAGAAGGUCUUCGGAUUGUAAAGCACUUUAAGUUGGGAGGAAGGGCAGUAAGCGAAUACCUUGCUGUUUUGACGUUACCGACAGAAUAAGCACCGGCUAACUCUGUGCCAGCAGCCGCGGUAAUACAGAGGGUGCAAGCGUUAAUCGGAAUUACUGGGCGUAAAGCGCGCGUAGGUGGUUUGUUAAGUUGAAUGUGAAAUCCCCGGGCUCAACCUGGGAACUGCAUCCAAAACUGGCAAGCUAGAGUAGGGCAGAGGGUGGUGGAAUUUCCUGUGUAGCGGUGAAAUGCGUAGAUAUAGGAAGGAACACCAGUGGCGAAGGCGACCACCUGGGCUCAUACUGACACUGAGGUGCGAAAGCGUGGGGAGCAAACAG